ACGGGUGCGGAACACGUACGCAACCUUCCUUCAAGCGGGGCAUAGCUUUCGGAAACGAAAAUUAAUACCCCAUAGUAAUAUCUGAGGGCAUCUGAGGAUAUUUAAAGAUUUAUCACUUGAAGAUGGGCGUGCGCCUGAUUAGGUAGUUGGCGGGGUAACGGCCCACCAAGCCUACGAUCAGUAACUGGUGUGAGAGCACGACCAGUCACACGGGCACUGAGACACGGGCCCGACUCCUACGGGAGGCAGCAGUAAGGAAUAUUGGUCAAUGGACGCAAGUCUGAACCAGCCAUGCCGCGUGGAGGAUGAAGGUCCUCUGGAUUGUAAACUUCUUUUAUCGGAGAAGAAACCCCCGAGUUCUCUUGGGGUUGACGGUACCCGAUGAAUAAGCACCGGCUAACUCCGUGCCAGCAGCCGCGGUAAUACGGAGGGUGCAAGCGUUAUCCGGAUUCACUGGGUUUAAAGGGAGCGUAGGUGGGCUGGUAAGUCAGUGGUGAAAUCUCCGGGCUUAACUCGGAAACUGCCGUUGAUACUAUCAGUCUUGAAUAUUGUGGAGGUAAGCGGAAUAUGUCAUGUAGCG
rnacentral:rRNA from 1 species